GGUAGGAGUUCGGUGGACCGAGAGGUUCCGCGCCCACUUCGCGGCCCAGAGGACUGAGCCCGGCCUCCGGUGCAAGGAAACCCCAGAGGCCAGAACUAGAAUUGCAAAUUUUUUUUCACCCUGGAUUCCAACGGCAUUCUGUUAUAAGCAACAGAAAAUGAAUGAAGACAGAAAAUUGGAACCAAGAAGUGGGAUUUUGCUGAUGAUGAAUACCUGAAAAUGGGGAAGCAGCUUUGGAACUAGCAAUUUUCAGUGAAACUUCAGAGGGCAAAGGGGAAGUUUUCCUUGGCCCCUCCAGUUUUGGUGCUGUGAACAGGAUACUAAAGCUGCUCUGCUCUUCUGGAAGCUGCAAUGAAGGGAACCAAAGACCUGACAAGCCAGC